rnacentral:rRNA from 1 species
CCAGACUCCUACGGGAGGCAGCAGUGGGGGAUAUUGCACAAUGGAGGAAACUCUGAUGCAGCGACGCCGCGUGAGGGAAGACGGUCUUCGGAUUGUAAACCUCUGUCUUUGGGGAAGAAAAUGACGGUACCCAAAGAGGAAGCUCCGGCUAACUACGUGCCAGCAGCCGCGGUAAUACGUAGGGAGCGAGCGUUGUCCGGAUUUAUUGGGUUUAAAGGGUGCGCAGGCGGAAGAUCAAGUCAGCGGUAAAAUUGGGGGGCUCAACCUCUUCGAGCCGUUGAAACUGGUUUUCUUGAGUGAGUGAGAAGUAUGCGGAAUGCGUGGUGUAGCGGUGAAAUGCAUAGAUAUCACGCAGAACUCCGAUUGCGAAGGCAGCAUACCGGCGCUCAACUGACGCUCAUGCACGAAAGUGUGGGUAUCGAACAGGAUUAGAUACCCGUGUAAA